CCUUUCUAUUUUUUUUUUAAAGAUUACAGAAGCAUUUCUGAAGAUAUUUUUUUUUCUAUUGUUUUACAAUUCCUCUCAAGAAAGAUUUUAAGAGUACUGAUCAGUCUCUUCCUCUUUUUUUCAACAUUUAGAGGAAAACAAUGACAUCUGAUAUCUCCAAAUCUGUUACAUCCAUCUAUGAUAUUUUAUGCUUUCAAAUUGAUUUAAUGUUAAUUUUUCUUCUUUCUCUCCUUAUCAUAUUAUUAAGCUUUAAUUGAUUGUGUACUUUCUUUUAUAGAGCGAGUUGCUGUUUUCCCUUUAGGGAUGUUUAGCACAAACAACUGAUCAGUCCUAUUCCUCUCUGUUUACAUUUAGAGGAAUAAGUUUGUAGGAGAUACCUGUCAGGCUAUAGCCUCUUUUUAUACGACAUUUCUAUUUUUGUUGAUUGAUAGCUAUACAAAAUGAAAAGUCUAAAGUCUUUUUAAUGAAAAGGUUUCCCUAACUCGUCAAGUUUAACAUAGGGAAAACACUUUUAUGUAAAUUAUUUUUUUUAAGUCUAAUUGUAUAAUGGAUAAUUUCUGUGUCUCCAAUUGUUUGCUAUAAAAUAUGAAGAUAACGAACAGUAAUCAAAAAUUCCAUUGAACAUGGAGCUCUGAAAAUAUUAGAGGUGGGAUCAGGUGCCGUAGAAGUCCAAGCAUCCUCUGUGGACUGGACUGUAUUCUCUUUGUCCUGAUUUUCUGCAUCAUCAAUUAUAUAUAAAAAUUUUUUUUUUAUUUUUAAUUUUGCAAAUAGAUUUUUAAAAAAAACACCCCCAAUAUCUGAAAAAUUCUGCAAGUAUGGAAUAAACACAGAAAUUAUCUAUUAUACUGUUAUUUUUUU